rnacentral:rRNA from 1 species
GUGUCAGCCGCCGCGGUAAUACGUAGGGGGCAAGCGUUGUCCGGAUUUAUUGGGCGUAAAGCGCUCGCAGGCGGCUUGAUGCGUCGUGCGUGAAACACCCCGGCUCAACUGGGGAGGGUCGUGCGAUACGGUCAGGCUUGAGGCCAGUAGGGGGACGCGGAAUUCCGGGUGUAGUGGUGGAAUGCGUAGAGAUCCGGAGGAACACCAGCGGCGAAGGCGGCGUCCUGGACUGGUACUGACGCUCAGGAGCGAAAGCGUGGGGAGCGAUCCGGAUUAGAUACCCGCGUAGUCC